rnacentral:rRNA from 1 species
UCGGGGAAAAGGAACAACAGGGAUUGCCCUAGUAACGGCGAGUGAAGCGGCAACAGCUCAAAUUUGAAAUCUGGCCCUCGGGUCCGAGUUGUAAUUUGUAGAGGAUGCUUUUGGCGCGGUGCCUUCCGAGUUCUCUGGAACGAGACGCCUUAGAGGGUGAGAGCCCCGUACGGUUGGACACCAAGCCUCUGUAAAGCUCCUUCGACGAGUCGAGUAGUUUGGGAAUGCUGCUCUAAAUGGGAGGUAAAUUUCUUCUAAAGCUAAAUAUUGGCCAGAGACCGAUAGCGCACAAGUAGAGUGAUCGAAAGAUGAAAAGCACUUUGAAAAGAGGGUUAAAUAGCACGUGAAAUUGUUGAAAGGGAAGCGUUUGCGACCAGACCUUUUCCUGGCGGAUCAUCCGGUGUUCUCACCGGUGCACUUCGCCAGGUUUAGGCCAGCAUCGGUUUCUGUAGGGGGAUAAAAGCUUUGGGAACGUAGCUCCCUCCGGAGUGUUAUAGCCCUUUGCAUAAUACCCUUACGGGGACCGAGGACCGCGCUCUAUGCAAGGAUGCUGGCGUAAUGGUCGUCAACGACCCGUCUUGAAACACGGACCAAGGAGUCGAACAUUUGUGCGAGUGUUUGGGUGUUAAACCCUCACGCGUAAUGAAGGUGAACGUAGGUGAGAGCCCUUACGGGUGCAUCAUCGACCGAUCCUGAUGUCUUCGGAUGGAUUUGAGUAAGAGCAUAACUGUUCGGACCCGAAAGAUGGUGAACUAUGCGUGGAUAGGGUGAAGCCAGAGGAAACUCUGGUGGAGGCUCGCAGCGGUUCUGACGUGCAAAUCGAUCGUCAAAUCUGCGCAUGGGGGCGAAAGACUUAUCGAACCAUCUAGUAGCUGGUUACCGCCGAAGUUUCCUCUCAGGAA